CCUACGGGCGGCAGCAGUGGGGAAUAUUGCACAAUGGGGGGAACCCUGAUGCAGCGACGCCGCGUGAGUGAAGAAGUAUUUCGGUAUGUAAAGCUCUAUCAGCAGGGAAGAAAAUGACGGUAACUGACUAAGAAGCCCCGGCUAACUACGUGCCAGCAGCCGAGGUAAUACGUAGGGGGCAAGCGUUAUCCGGAUUUACUGGUCGCAAAGGGAGCGCAGACGGCUGUGCAAGUCUGGAGUGAAAGGCGGGGGGCCAACCCCCGGACUGCUCUGGAAACUGUAAAGCUGGAGUGCAGGAGAGGUAAGCGGAAUUCCUAGUGUAGCGGUGAAAUGCGUAGAUAUUAGGAGGAACACCAGUGGCGAAGGCGGCUUACUGGACUGCAACUGACGUUGAGGCUCGAAAGCGUGGGGAGCAAACAGGAUUAGAUACCCCAGUAGUC
rnacentral:rRNA from 1 species